UAAAGGGUCCGUAGGCGGCUAUACAAGUCAGCGGUGAAAGUUUUUGGCUUAACCAAAAAAUUGCCAUUGAUACUGUAUGGCUUGAAUUAUUGUGAAGUAACUAGAAUAUGUAGUGUAGCGGUGAAAUGCUUAGAUAUUACAUGGAAUACCAAUUGCGAAGGCAGGUUACUAACAAUAUAUUGACGCUGAUGGACGAAAGCGUGGGUAGCGAACAGGAUUAGAUACCCUGGUAGUCCACGCCGUAAACGAUGGAUACUAGCUGUUUGGGCGUAAGCUUGAGUGGCUAAGCGAAAGUGAUAAGUAUCCCACCUGGGGAGUACGGGCGCAAGCCUGAAACUCAAAGGAAUUGACGGGGGCCCGCACAAGCGGUGGAGCAUGUGGUUUAAUUCGAUGAUACGCGAGGAACCUUACCAGGGCUUAAAUGUGUUUUGACCGUUUAGGAAACUAGACUUUCGCAAGACAAAAUACAAGGUGCUGCAUGGUUGUCGUCAGCUCGUGCCGUGAGGUGUCAGGUUAAGUCCUAUAACGAGCGCAACCCCUGUUGUUAGUUGCCAGCGAGUCAUGUCGGGAACUCUAACAAGACUGCCAGUGUAAACUGUGAGGAAGGUGGGGAUGACGUCAAAUCAUCACGGCCCUUACGUCCUGGGCCACACACGUGCUACAAUGGGCGGUACAGAGAGCAGCUACCUAGUGAUAGGAUGCGAAUCUAUAAAACCGUUCUCAGUUCGGAUCGGAGUCUGCAACUAGACUCCGUGAAGCUGGAAUCGCUAGUAAU
rnacentral:rRNA from 1 species